rnacentral:rRNA from 1 species
UACGGAGGGAGCUAGCGUUGUUCGGAAUUACUGGGCGUAAAGCGCACGUAGGCGGCGCAGCAAGUCAGGGGUGAAAUCCCGGAGCUCAACUCCGGAACUGCCCUUGAAACUGCAGUGCUAGAAUCCUGGAGAGGCGAGUGGAAUUCCGAGUGUAGAGGUGAAAUUCGUAGAUAUUCGGAAGAACACCAGUGGCGAAGGCGACUCGCUGGACAGGUAUUGACGCUGAGGUGCGAAAGCGUGGGGAGCAAACAGG